rnacentral:lncRNA from 1 species
CUUCUCCAGACCAUUGGCAAAAGAAUGAAACCCAGAAUUGGGGCAAAUUAACUUCAUUUCUUGGAUCUGAUCAGGCAUCAACCAUCUUUCUCUCUUUUUUUCUUUUCUUUGGGCUGGGUCACAAUUUUUUUUUUCCACUCUUUCUCUCUUCUUCCUUUUUUCUUUUCUCUCUUCUUCUUCCUUCCCCUGCUGGUAGAUCAAGGGUGGGCAGGCUGUAGGCUUGCUGCGCUGGGUGGGCUGCGCAAGCGCAGGCGCGGGACGCAGGGCUGCUGAUGCUGGGGCAGUAGCGCGGAGGGAGAUGUACGCGCAGAGGGGGGGCUAGGCGAGGCUGGGCAGCGCUCGCCCUGGUGUGCUGGUCUGGCCGGCUAUGGGGCUUCGCG